GCGAAUGCUGACAUAAGUAACGAUAAUGCGGGUGAAAAACCCGCACGCCGGAAGACCAAGGGUUCCUGUCCAACGUUAAUCGGGGCAGGGUGAGUCGACCCCUAAGGCGAGGCUGAAAAGCGUAGUCGAUGGGAAACGGGUUAAUAUUCCCGUACUGGUGGUAACUGCGAUGGGGGAACGGAGAAGGCUAGGUUGUCCGGGCGACGGUCGUCCCGGUUCAAGCAGGUAGGCAGAGUGAUUAGGCAAAUCCGGUCACUUAAUGCUGAGAUGUGAUGACGAACCACCAAGGUGGUGAAGCAAUUGAUGCCCCGCUUCCAGGAAAAGCCUCUAAGCUUCAGGUUACCAACAAUCGUACCCCAAACCGACACAGGUGGUCAGGUAGAGAAUACUCAGGCGCUUGAGAGAACUCGGGUGAAGGAACUAGGCAAAAUGGUGCCGUAACUUCGGGAGAAGGCACG
rnacentral:rRNA from 1 species